rnacentral:tRNA from 1 species
GGGAUAAUAGUUAACUAUAAUAUUUGGUUUGCAUCCAAAAGGUGUUGCUAUCAACUUAUCUCA